rnacentral:rRNA from 1 species
CCUACGGGAGGCAGCAGUGAGGAAUAUUGGUCAAUGGACGAGAGUCUGAACCAGCCAAGUAGCGUGAAGGAUGACUGCCCUAUGGGUUGUAAACUUCUUUUAUAUGGGAAUAAAAUGUUCCACGUGUGGGAUUUUGUAUGUACCAUAUGAAUAAGGAUCGGCUAACUCCGUGCCAGCAGCCGCGGUAAUACGGAGGAACCGAGCGUUAUCCGGAUUUAUUGGGUUUAAAGGGAGCGUAGGUGGAUUGUUAAGUCAGUUGUGAAAGUUUGCGGCUCAACCGUAAAAUUGCAGUUGAAACUGGCAGUCUUGAGUACAGUAGAGGUGGGCGGAAUUCGUGGUGUAGCGGUGAAAUGCUUAGAUAUCACGAAGAACUCCGAUUGCGAAGGCAGUUCACUGGACUGCAACUGACACUGAGGCUCGAAAGUGUGGGUAUCAAACAGGAUUAGAUACCCGAGUAGUC